rnacentral:tRNA from 1 species
GGCGGUUUAGCUCAGCGGCAUAAGCGCCUGCCUUGAAAGCAGGCAGUCGUGAGUUCAAUCCCCAGUACUGAUA